CGGCCGCGAGGGAAGCGGGCGAGCGCUAGGACCGCGCCGCUCCGCCUCCCGCCGCUAUAAGAGGCCGCUCGAGCCCCACGCGGAACCGGCUCCGCGCCGCUGUCCCCGCGUCCCCACCCGGCUCCAACGCAGCGCAGCCCAGGCAGUCCCCGGCCUGCGUGGGGCGCCCGGGGCCCCGCGGCGCACCAUGGGCGCUGCCCACUCGGCGUCCGAGGAGGUGCGGGAGCUCGAGGGCAAGACCGGCUUCUCCUCGGACCAGAUAGAGCAGCUGCAUCGGAGGUUCAAGCAGCUAAGCGGGGACCAGCCCACCAUUCGCAAGGAGAACUUCAACAAUGUCCCUGACCUGGAGCUCAACCCGAUCCGAUCCAAAAUCGUCCGUGCCUUCUUCGACAACAGGAACCUGCGAAAGGGAUCCAGCGGUCUGGCCGAUGAGAUCAACUUUGAGGACUUCCUGACUAUCAUGUCCUACUUCCGGCCCAUCGACACCACCCUGGGCGAGGAACAGGUGGAGCUGUCACGAAAGGAGAAGCUGAAAUUUCUGUUUCAUAUGUAUGAUUCGGACAGUGACGGCCGCAUCACCCUGGAAGAGUAUAGAAAUGUAAAGUGGUGGAGGAGCUGCUCUCGGGAAACCCUCACAUUGAAAAGGAGUCGGCUCGGUCCAUUGCAGACGGGGCCAUGAUGGAGGCGGCCAGCGUGUGCGUGGGGCAGAUGGAACCGGACCAGGUGUACGAGGGGAUCACCUUUGAGGACUUCCUGAAGAUCUGGCAGGGCAUCGACAUCGAGACCAAGAUGCACAUUCGUUUCCUCAACAUGGAGACCAUCGCCCUCUGCCACUGACCUGCUGCCUGCUGCCCGUGCAAGGGAGGGGGUGGCUGGAAGCUGGGGGUGACCGAGGACGGAUGUUCAGCCCUAUGCCUGGGCUUCUGUGACAAUCAGUAACCCUUCUUCAGUUAUCCUCCUCGUGGGGUGUGGUGUGUGGGACUCCGAUAUUUUUAUCUCUAAUGGUGACAAUAAAGGUUUCCUAAUGAGUCCGGCA